UGCCAGCAGCCGCGGUAAUACGGAGGGGGUUAGCGUUGUUCGGAAUUACUGGGCGUAAAGCGCACGUAGGCGGAUUAGUAAGUUAGGGGUGAAAUCCCGGGGCUCAACCCCGGAACUGCCUCUAAUACUGCUAGUCUUGAGUUCGAGAGAGGUGAGUGGAAUUCCGAGUGUAGAGGUGAAAUUCGUAGAUAUUCGGAGGAACACCAGUGGCGAAGGCGAUCUCUUGGUCCAUAACUGACGCUGAGGCGCGAAAGCGUGGGGAGCAAACAGGAUUAGAUA
rnacentral:rRNA from 1 species